rnacentral:rRNA from 1 species
GAUGAACGCUAGCGGCAGGCCUAAUACAUGCAAGUCGGACGGGAUUGAGGAGCUUGCUUCUCAUGAGAGUGGCGCACGGGUGCGUAACACGUAUGUAACCUACCUUAGUCAGGGGGAUAGCCUCUCGAAAGAGAGAUUAACACCGCAUAACAUUAUGAUAUGGCAUCAUAUUAUAAUCAAAUAUUUAUAGGACUAAGAUGGGCAUGCGGAACAUUAGCUAGUUGGUAAGGUAACGGCUUACCAAGGCUACGAUGUUUAGGGGAUCUGAGAGGAUGACCCCCCACACUGGUACUGAGACACGGACCAGACUCCUACGGGAGGCAGCAGUAAGGAAUAUUGGUCAAUGGACGCAAGUCUGAACCAGCCAUGCCGCGUGCAGGAAGACGGCCCUACGGGUUGUAAACUGCUUUUGUACCUGAAUAAACCAUUGUAUGUAUACGAAGCUGAAUGUACGGUAAGAAUAAGGAUCGGCUAACUCCGUGCCAGCAGCCGCAGUAA